rnacentral:rRNA from 1 species
UACGUAGGGUGCGAGCGUUGUCCGGAAUUAUUGGGCGUAAAGGGCUCGUAGGCGGUCUGUUGCGUCAGGAGUGAAAACUCGGGGCUUAACCCCGAGCCUGCUUCUGAUACGGGCAGACUAGAGGUAUGCAGGGGAGAACGGAAUUCCUGGUGUAGCGGUGAAAUGCGCAGAUAUCAGGAGGAACACCGGUGGCGAAGGCGGCGUCCUGGACCAACACUGACACUGAUGAGCGAAAGCCAGGGGAGCAAACGGG